CAACUGCGUUUUUAAAAGCAGCUGGAAACCUAUAUUAAUCUCGAUGCUGGAAACACACCAGAGGAGAAGCUGGAAUUGACAAUAUCCAAAACAGCAGGGGCCACCAGUCUGACUGUGUCAAUUAUCGCCCAAUCUCAAAAGUAAUUGUGUCAUGUUCCUGGGCAGAGGUGAGUCACACCUUCUCCUCUCACCAGACUCUGAGCUAAUUCUCCACAGGUGAGGAGCAGGGGGAGCGGCAGCUGCAGGAGAUUUCCCAAUCAGGGACGCGGGUUCAAAAGGAGGAUGGAGACACAUCACUUUGCCGGAUGAUUGCACCAGUUUAGGAUCAUCUCAUCAUCUACUCACCCUCGCUGUCUUCGUUUUCUGGAACAUACUCAUCACGUCCCAUCCUCCUCCGCCGUUCCUGUUUGGCCUUCCCUCUGCUACCUCACCCCUCCUGGAUCUCUCAUCCUCUGCCCAGCGUCCUCCCCGGCUUCCCCUCCUCUACUGAUUAACCUGAGCACCUCAGAGACUCGAGCCGUAUUGCUCAUCCCACAGGACUUCCCUGUGCGGUUUCAGUUCCCGUUUUUAUAAUAAAGACAUUUUACUUUA